GAACGCUUUUGAUUUUAUAUUUUGUCUUUAUGUGUUUGUGCUUUGUUGAUGGAGAAGCCUACAUGCCAUCUCAAAAAAUUCAGAUCUAUGCUUGUUAGGUCCUCUUCCUCGACGAAGUCGGAGUUUAAUUUCCAUCAUUUGUUGAUGAUUUUUUUCUGCUUUUUUGGCCGCUGUUUCUUCUCUUAGGAGUGAGGUUAAUGCAAUGAAGUUUAGCUUACUGCAUUACUGCUGAAGAUGAUGAUCUAAUUCAGGGUUUUAUUGAUGGUAAGUAUGAUGAUCUUCUUGAACAAUUGUCUCACAUGGUUUUUGUCAUAGAUGAGAUGGUUGGAAAGUCAAAGAAGAUCUUGAAGGAGUUAGUAGCUUAAGGAACUGAUUCUUGUUUUUCAUGUUCAUAAUUGAUAUAUCGUUGUCUUAUAAGAUUGAGAAUGUGGUAAGAGAAAUCUACGGCAUAAGCUCUGCAAAAACUUUCUCCAAGCAUCACCAUCUGAAUCACAUAAUGUUAAAAUUCCCAAA